rnacentral:lncRNA from 1 species
GCCCUGCAGUAAUGCACUGAAGAGUGCAUGGCAGCACAUAUGUGCCUCAUGUGUCCUGCUGUGAUGCACCGAGUGGCACAUAGCGUUAUGGUGUCAAUCAUGUGUCUUGAUGUGAUGCACUGGUUCAGACAAUAUCACGAAGGCAAUGUUUCUUUAAAACUGUCAAAUUUGAGGAAACAAUCUAACAAAAGUCACUUGAUGAACAUUCUGUAAAGGUGACAUAAAUAUUUCAAAAAUGUCUCUGACAUCGAAAGAAAAAAACAAAAAGGGAGCUAGUCCAGAUUUUAAAACUAAAAGAUAUAGUAACUAAAAGCAGUUGUGGUGCUUGGAUAAAAACAAACAACAGAAGGUAUAAACAACAUUAUUAGACACACUGGGAAAAACUUUAUAUGGACCAUGUAUUCGAUAACGGUGCUGUGUUAUUGUUAAAUUUCCUUCGUGUGGUAACUGAAGGGGAAUGAUUUUGUUCUCAACAGAUAAUGCUCAAGUAUUUGGGGGCAAAAUUUCACAAUGACUAACUUCCAAAAUGGUUCAGUCAAAAGAAUGACAUAUGUGCAAUUAAAAGGGGAAAAUAAGUGUGACAAAAUGCCAACGACAGUUGAAUUGUCAUGUGGGAACUCACUGGACUAUUCUAGAAACAUUUCUGUAGCUUUAAAAUUAUUUAAAACAAAUGUUGUGGGGGAAAGAGCAUGCAUUUAAGGUAGUAAAAAUAUUCAGGACACACAAAGAGGGGGUGCAAACAGGUAAAACGACAGGGUUUCUGACCUCAGAGAGCUUCCUGAAGCUGUGCACACGCCUGUCAGGAAGGCGGUGGAAUGAGCAGAGCUUCGAGGGGCAGGUCAUGUCUCUACUGAGUGGAGCAGAGGAUGGGGUGUCUGCAAACAGUGAAUUUUAAGCCAUUUGUUUAGUCCACAUUACAGUGAAUCUAAAUAAGAGUUUGGAAAGCCAGUCACACCGGACUAUCUUCACUUCGUUUAACGAUAGACACAGGUAGGGACAGGGAACAGACGUCCCAAAUGGAUUCUCAGCCACAUGCUUGGAGACCCAGAGGAGCGAGCACAGGAGAUAGCAGCAAGGGCUUGGAACAGGCCAGGCUAUUCCAUCAUUUAAUUUAAAAGGGGAGGUGACUCCUGUUCACUCAGGAAAAAGUCAGGGGCAGGGCAGGUGCCAAAAGUACUGAGGUGAUGCAUUCUUCUAAUAUUGUUCAGAACAUGUCUUCACAUCUCAUCAAAACAGCUUACGAAAGCAGAAUAUUCAUCCUGUAGCUAAAUUCCAUGUUCAUGCAUUCAGGACCAGGCACAACUACCUUUACUCUCCAAUAUGGCCUGUCGGAUGAACACCCGUGAAUUUGAACCAAUAUUUACUGUUGCUCUUUGAAAAGAAGCAUUUUCAUCAUUGCUUUUGAUGGAAAGCAAAUUUAGCUAAUCUUCCAUUUUUUCUUUGCCUCCAGUAAUUCUGGUCUGCUCAAGGUAUUCAGCCAGCCAGCAGAGAUAGAAAAUAAAGAUCAAGCACAGUGGCUCAUACAUGUAAUCCCAGCACUUUGGGAAGCUAAGGUGGGUAGAUCACUUGAAGUAGAAGUUCAAGACCGGUCUGACCAACAUGGUGAAACGCCAUCUCUACUAAAAAUACAAAAUUAGCUGGGUGUGAUGGUACAUG